AUACGUAGGUGACAAGCGUUAUCCGGAUUUACUGGGCGUAAAGGGCGUGUAGGCGGUCUUGCAAGUCAGAAGUGAAAUUCCUGAGCUCAACUCGGGCGCUGCUUCUGAAACUGCAGGACUUGAGUGCUGGAGGGGAUAGCGGAAUUCCUAGAGGAGCGGUAAAAUGCGCAGAUAUUAGGAAGAACACCGGUGGCGAAGGCGGCUAUCUGGACAGUAACUGACGCUGAGGCGCGAAAGCGUGGGGAGCAAACAGGAUUAGAUACCCUGGUAGUCCACGCCGUAAACGAUGAGUACUAGGUGUAGGGGGUAUCGACUCCCUCUGUGCCGCAGUUAACACAAUAAGUAUUCCGCCUGGGGAGUACGGCCGCAAGGUUGAAACUUAAAGGAAUUGACGGGG
rnacentral:rRNA from 1 species